AGAGAUUUUUUACAUGGCAAAGAAAUUGACAAUCAGUUCAGAGAGGAUAAAUACUUGAAGUAACAAAAUAAGUUGAAUUCAGUCCUUUCGAUGAAUAAAACAAACACUGUUAGAUGUGACUUCUCUUCAAUCGGAGAUUCUGAUAUGAGAGGAGCACCAGGCAGAUUACUUGAAUUUUCUUCUUUGUAAUUAUCGAAGGAAACUUGUUAAUAUCAUCUAGAUGCUGUUUAUGUUUUAUUCAGAUUUUUGGCAAGUCUUGAACAUGGUGAAUUAUCUCAGGGAUCUGGAGCAACUCUUGGAUAAGGCAAACUAUCUCAAGGUGUCAAGCCAUCCUUGGACUUGUCCUUUCUGUCUUGAAUCAUUUGAGCCACUCACUGAUUUUCUUUUUUCUCAUCUUGUUCAUUCCCGGAUCACCUCUGCCUUUUUUGGUUUCAGUCUUUUCCUGGGGAAAGAUUACGUCUUAUGUUUUCUCCUUUUCUUUCUUUCUUUUUAAUUUGUCUUUUGUGACACCUGCAUGUAAUGCAACUCUGUUUGAUCAUAUAUUUUCUAUCAUUUGUUAUUAUUUCUUUAUGUUGUUGAGGACAAAGUUCUCCGGGGUAGAUAGUAG
rnacentral:lncRNA from 1 species